rnacentral:SRP_RNA from 1 species
ACAGGGACGACGGCGCGUCCGUCGCCGGGGACAGCGUGAACACGGAGGACACGGAGCAGGUGGCGAACAGCAGGGCGGCGAACGCCAGGCGAAA